CUACUUAUUAAAAAGACUUAUUGCUGCCGAACGCAGCGAGGCAGCACACUAUUCUUGACACGUGGUUUCUCCAGAGUUUACUCGACCCAGUCUUUCGCGCGAUCUAUGUAUUGUCGAGAUAAUUAAUAAUUAAGCUUCAGGAACGUUUAAUUGUUAAGUGAGAGGAGCGGUCAAAACAAAAUUUUGUAUUGCGCAUGCAUCUCCAUGUACUCAAGAUUUUUCAAGCGUU